UCCUACGGGAGGCAGCAGUGGGGAAUAUUGCGCAAUGGGGGGAACCCUGACGCAGCCAUGCCGCGUGAAUGAAGAAGGCCUUCGGGUUGUAAAGUUCUUUCGGUAAUGAGGAAGGGAUGUUGUUAAAUAGAUAGCAUCAUUGACGUUAAUUACAGAAGAAGCACCGGCUAACUCCGUGCCAGCAGCCGCGGUAAUACGGAGGGUGCGAGCGUUAAUCGGAAUAACUGGGCGUAAAGGGCACGCAGGCGGACUUUUAAGUGAGAUGUGAAAUCCCCGAGCUUAACUUGGGAACUGCAUUUCAGACUGGGAGUCUAGAGUACUUUAGGGAGGGGUAGAAUUCCACGUGUAGCGGUGAAAUGCGUAGAGAUGUAGAGGAAUACCGAAGGCGAAGGCAGCCCCUUGGGAAUGUACUGACGCUCAUGUGCGAAAGCGUGGGGAGCAAACAGGAUUAGAUACCCUGGUAGUCC
rnacentral:rRNA from 1 species